AGCUUGCUGCUUCGCUGACGAGUGGCGGACGGGUGAGUAAUGUCUGGGAAACUGCCUGAUGGAGGGGGAUAACUACUGGAAACGGUGGCUAAUACCGCAUAACGUCGCAAGACCAAAGAGGGGGACCUUCGGGCCUCUUGCCAUCAGAUGUGCCCAGAUGGGAUUAGCUUGUUGGUGAGGUAACGGCUCACCAAGGCGACGAUCCCUAGCUGGUCUGAGAGGAUGACCAGCCACACUGGAACUGAGACACGGUCCAGACUCCUACGGGAGGCAGCAGUGGGGAAUAUUGCACAAUGGGCGCAAGCCUGAUGCAGCCAUGCCGCGUGUAUGAAGAAGGCCUUCGGGUUGUAAAGUACUUUCAGCGGGGAGGAAGGUGUUGUGGUUAAUAACCGCAGCAAUUGACGUUACCCGCAGAAGAAGCACCGGCUAACUCCGUGCCAGCAGCCGCGGUAAUACGGAGGGUGCAAGCGUUAAUCGGAAUUACUGGGCGUAAAGCGCACGCAGGCGGUCUGUCAAGUCGGAUGUGAAAUCCCCGGGCUCAACCUGGGAACUGCAUUCGAAACUGGCAGGCUUGAGUCUUGUAGAGGGGGGUAGAAUUCCAGGUGUAGCGGUGAAAUGCGUAGAGAUCUGGAGGAAUACCGGUGGCGAAGGCGGCCCCCUGGACAAAGACUGACGCUCAGGUGCGAAAGCGUGGGGAGCAAACAGGAUUAGAUACCCUGGUAGUCCACGCCGUAAACGAUGUCUACUUGGAGGUUGUGCCCUUGAGGCGUGGCUUCCGGAGCUAACGCGUUAAGUAGACCGCCUGGGGAGUACGGCCGCAAGGUUAAAACUCAAAUGAAUUGACGGGGGCCCGCACAAGCGGUGGAGCAUGUGGUUUAAUUCGAUGCAACGCGAAGAACCUUACCUGGUCUUGACAUCCACAGAAGAAUCCAGAGAUGGAUUGGUGCCUUCGGGAACUGUGAGACAGGUGCUGCAUGGCUGUCGUCAGCUCGUGUUGUGAAAUGUUGGGUUAAGUCCCGCAACGAGCGCAAC
rnacentral:rRNA from 1 species